UGGAUGGCCAAGGUCCACCUAUCCUGAGUCUGAUUACAAUUCACCUGGCCGUGCGCUUUUACAUUUUCUGCUCCAUAGUAUUGCGACUCGGCAUCGGGUUGUAAUUAAAGAUUUAUUGGUAAAAGAUGGCUAUGCGUUCUAUUAGCUAGAUGGUGUGGUAACGGCACACCAUGGCAACGAUAGAUAGGGGCCCUGAGAGGGAGAUCCCCCACACUGGUACUGAGACACGGACCAGACUCCUACGGGAGGCAGCAGUGAGGAAUAUUGGGCAAUGGAGGCAACGCUGACCCAGCCAUGCCGCGUGCAGGAAGACGGCCCUAUGGGUUGUAAACUGCUUUUAUACAGGAAGAAACACUGGUAUGUAUACCAGCUUGACGGUACUGUAAGAAUAAGGACCGGCUAACUCCGUGCCAGCAGCCGCGGUAAUACGGAGGGUCCGAGCGUUAUCCGGAAUCAUUGGGUUUAAAGGGUCCGCAGGCGGUCAAUUAAGUCAGAGGUGAAAUCCAACAGCUUAACUGUUGAACUGCCUUUGAUACUGUUAGUCUUGAAUUAUAUGGAAGUAGAUAGAAUGUGUAGUGUAGCGGUGAAAUGCUUAGAGAUUACACAGAAUACCGAUUGCGAAGGCAGUCUACUACGUAUAUAUUGACGCUAAUGGAUGAAAGCGUGGGGAGCUAACAGGAUUAGAUACCCUGGUAGUCCACGCCGUACACGAUGGACACUAGUUGUUUUGGAUUUAAUCAGUGACUAAGCGAAAGUGAAAAGUGUCCCACCUGGGGAGUACGAUCGCAAGAUUGAAACUCAAAGGAAUUGACGGGGGCCCGCACAAGCGGUGGAGCAUGUGGUUUAAUUCGAUGAUACGCGAGGAACCUUACCAGGGCUUAAAUGUAGAUUGACAGGACUAUAGAUAGUUUUUCCUUCGGGCAAUUUACAAGGUGCUGCAUGGUUGUCGUCAGCUCGUGCCGUGAGGUGUCAGGUUAAGUCCUAUAACGAGCGCAACCCCUGUUGUUAGUUGCCAGCGAGUCAUGUCGGGAACUCUAACAAGACUGCCGGUGCAAACUGUGAGGAAGGUGGGGAUGACGUCAAAUCAUCACGGCGCUUACGUCCUGGGCCACACACGUGCUACAAUGGCCGGUACAGAGAGCAGCCACUACGUGAGUAGGAGCGAAUCUUCAAAACCGGUCUCAGUUCGGAUCGGAGUCUGCAACUCGACUCCAUGAAGUCGGAAUCGCUA
rnacentral:rRNA from 1 species